rnacentral:rRNA from 1 species
AACGAACGCUGGCGGCGUGCUUAACACAUGCAAGUCGAACGAGAAAGCCCUUCGGGGUGAGUAGAGUGGCGCACGGGUGAGUAACACGUAGGUGACCUACCAUUUGGAGGGGGAUAACUCGGAGAAAUUCGGGCUAAUACCGCAUAAGCAACACAAAUUUAAAAGUAGUGUUGGAAAGGAUGCUUCGGCAUUCACUGAAUGAUGGGCCUGCGUAACAUUAGCUUGAUGGUGGGGUAAUGGCCUACCAUGGCUACGAUGUUUAGCUGGUCUGAGAGGAUGAUCAGCCACACUGGAACUGAGACACGGUCCAG